UAUGACCAGUUAUAGUUCUAGUAGGGAUCAGUUCAUCCUUUUCAUUUUUAACUACAAUCAUUCCACCUUUUUUAGGGACGCAAUGCACUGGAGAAACCCAAGUACUAUCAGAGAUAGGGUAGAUGACACCAACAUCAAGCAGUUUCAAAAUUUCUUUUUUCACUACUUCUUUCAA
rnacentral:sRNA from 1 species